rnacentral:rRNA from 1 species
AUUGAACGCUGGCGGCAGGCCUAACACAUGCAAGUCGAGCGGGGUCAAGGUGCUUGCACUUUGACUUAGCGGCGGACGGGUGAGUAAUGCCUAGGAAUCUGCCUGGUAGUGGGGGACAACGUUUCGAAAGGAACGCUAAUACCGCAUACGUCCUACGGGAGAAAGCAGGGGACCUUCGGGCCUUGCGCUAUCAGAUGAGCCUAGGUCGGAUUAGCUAGUUGGUGAGGUAAUGGCUCACCAAGGCUACGAUCCGUAACUGGUCUGAGAGGAUGAUCAGUCACACUGGAACUGAGACACGGUCCAGACUCCUACGGGAGGCAGCAGUGGGGAAUAUUGGACAAUGGGCGAAAGCCUGAUCCAGCCAUGCCGCGUGUGUGAAGAAGGUCUUAGGAUCGUAAAGCACUUUAAGUUGGGAGGAAGGGCAGUAAC